UUCGCUCGCGGAGGGCGGGGAAAGCGAGCGACCUUCUUCGCCUCAGGGUAAUAUUGAGGUGGUGAAGCCUUCAGCUGGGCACCCACUUUUACAGUGCCCAGCUAAAUAGGGAAUGGAGCCUGUGGUUAUGGCAAUGUGCACCUCACCAAGCAAUUAUUACAGUUUAAUAAAGGAUUCCUACCACCACCACCACAGAGUCAGCCUUAAGGCCUGAAGAGUCCUGCAAAAGAUGGCUUGGAGCAUAAAUGACAUCAUGUGACUCCCCGCCCCCACACUCUACCCCAGCACAAGGAGAACUAUGACGUAUGAGAUUUCGAAACAGACUGACACAAGAGGCCAAAGAACAGAUGGAAGCCUUAAGUUUUCAGGGUUGGCCCAAGAAAUUUUGUUGCCUGAGGCAAAGGACAAGAUGACUGCCACCCCUUCAAAGCACAGAAACUGCCUGGGUGGGCAGCUGAAUUUUAGAAGACUCAGGACAGGUAGUGUGGCACUCUGUACUUCAGUACCUUGCCACCACUCCCUGCCUGCUCCACAGUCAUAGCUGUCAACUUUUCCCUUUUCUUGCGAGGAAUCCUAUUCAGAAUAAGGGAAUUUCCCUUUAAAAAAGGGAAAUGUUGUCCACAGUGCCUAUGGGCAGGGCUGGCCCUGUAAGUUCUGCACCACUAGCACUCUAGUUCUCCAGCAGCAACAGAGCAGAUUUAGCUCCUUAGGCCCAGCCUGACUAGUGUCAAGUGACUCCACAGGGCUAUCCAGAUCCUAGAAAGUCCCAAGAAAGGGAAAGGGAAAAGCAGCAGAGUCUUGAGGCAGACUAGAUUUAUUGUGGCACAACAUUUCAUGGAUUAAGUCAGCUGCAGCACAUGAAGGGGUGGUAGAACUGUAGCUACAGAUGAGCUAGCCGGGAUUUUGACUCUGGUGAAGCCUCAAGAGGGGCACCAUUGAGGCUGUAUGCAAAUGUGCGUGGGCGUGUGGCAAAGUGAGUCUUUGACCUGGGUGAAAUAAAGCCACAUACGGUAUAAUGUCAUGGGUUGUUGUUCAUCAGAUGUUGUAUUUACCUAAUUUUAAGACCUGCUAAGGAACAGAUGAUUGUUAUCUGUCCUGAUAUGUAACACAACACAACUCAAAAGAGGGUGUUUUAUUUUUCCCAUGACUGUGUUGAGGUGGAAUUCCAAGGUAACUCUAGACAGGGAGGAGGAUGGGGACAAAACUAGGAUAAGUUGGCUUUGCCUGUCACUGGCUGUGAGAGACCGUGCUAAGGAGGAUUGGUGGGAGCCUUUCACUACUCCUGCUCCUGCUCAGGAUCCUGAAUCUUCCCAGGAGCAAGAGGACAAGUAUAGAUUUGGUUUGCCGAAGGGCAUAGUUCAGAAGGCAGCAGCUGGGAAACACUGGAUGGGGAACAGCUAGGAGAAGAAGCACUGGGAGAUAGAGAGUUAACAGAUUCACUGUCUCCGGAAAGCAUUCCUCCACCAGAAAAGCUGAUUAAGGUGGCAGAACAGAAAGCACAGAGAUUAUGAACUCAGGUUACAAGAUGCAGUUGUGACCUGGGUGACUAAGGAAGAAGUGGGUGAAACUCUUAAUUGGGAGCACUGCCAUUCCUAGG